ACUAGCCUUAGCGAGGCCAUGGGGGAAAAAGUCUAACUGGCGGAACUCCUGGGAACUGGGGCGAUGGGCUCUUAGUAUCGGAGGAUUGGAGCCAUCUGAUUUUUACCUGAAAUUCCUUAGUCUCUCCUGUGUUGGGGAAAUGGUAAGUAAGACAGAUUUUCACCAACAGAGAGCGUUUCUAUCUCUUCUCUACUCCUCCCUUUUAAAAUUGAGAUUCUGACAGUGUAAAGGAGUUAGGACCCCCUUUUGGGGAUCGGGCAUGGUUUUGUGGCUUUAAAAUGCUUUAAAAUUGCUGAAGUUUCUUGGUAUUGGAACUGUUUCUCCUAAGUAACAUUUUAUCAUCGCACGUGAAAUACUGUAACUCUCGGUGCCAAAUCCAGGAAAAAUGGGCGGUUAGGAGAAGUCCAGGGAAAGCCGACUGAGCAGGUUGUGAAGGUAAGCAGUCCUGUUAAAUGUACACAAAAAUGUCACUUUGCUUCUCUAAACUAGGAAAACUGAUAGGACUUUUGAAUAAGGUAGGAUAUAAGAUUUAAAAAUAUAAAUAGGUCAUCCCCUCCAAAAAAGCCGUUUGUAUGUUUAACUGGUGAGUGACAGAUCUGUAAUAAUUAUUUAGAAAUAGGAAUGUCGAGGCGGGCGGAUCACCUGAGGUCGGGAGUUCGAGACCAGCCAGGUCAACAUGGCGAAACCCUGUCUCUACUAAAAAUUACAAAAAUUAGCUGGAUGUGGUGGCAUGAGCUUGUGAUCCCAGCCACUCGGGAUGGUGAGGCGGGAUAAUCCCUUGAACCCGGGAGGCGAAGGUUGCAGUGAGCUGAGAUGGCGCCACUGCAUUCCCGCCUGGGCGAUAGAGACUACUUCUAAAAAAAAAAAAAAAAAGAAAAGAAAAGAAGUAGGGAUGUUUGAAGAACACAGUUUUGCAGUGAGCAAGUUGUACCCACUCUAGUGAGGACAGUGACCUCAGAAUAAUUGAGAGGGAUCAUUUGACCUUGAGACCCCAGGACCUAACAAAUAAACACUAUCAUUGGCUAGAAUAACUUUGUAGUUCUUGUCCAUUUAUUUUGUGCAUGUUGUUCUUAAAAGGCUUGUGAAAGAUAACUUGGAAUGUGGGAAACACAUAGAUCCCAGAGUAUUAAAGGGGCUGGAAAAGUAGCCUUAAGACAUGAAUUAUGUGCCUUUCAUCUGGGACUGUUUGGAGAAAGAAGCCAUUUUGGGGCAGUGGUUUGUAUUCUGCCCCAAAAACAUGAUUCUUAUUCAGGGACUUUUGGGGUACAUGGGUGAAUAGGAGAAAUAUGGGUGGAAGGAAUUUGCCAAAGAACUGAGUCAGGAAUUUGUACAUUGGCCACCAGGCAUGAAGGUUAGUUCCUGGGAAUGGAGAGUUAGCUGAGGUAAGCUGAUUUUUCUAAGAAAUCCCCCUGCUCCAUGAUCUUGGAUGUUUUGGAAGUAGGGUCAGGGCCUCAGGCUAGUGCAGGGUUCAAGGGCCAAAUCCAGUCUGUAGCCUGGCUGUGCAUGUCUCAAACAAAGCACAUUUGUUUGUGGAUUUUUUUUGCAUUUUAAAUGGUUGAAUAAACCAAAAGAAGACUACUUUGUGAUGUAACAUUCAUAUCUCAGUGUCCAUAAAGUUUUAUUGGAACAUAGUCACACUCAUUUCCAUGUUGUCUGUGGCUGCCUUCAUGCUGCAGCAGGAGAGCUGAGUAGUUGAGACAGUGACUAUGCGGUCUGCAAAGCGUAAAAAAGGAUCUAGUCUUUGCAGAGAAAGUUUACUGCUCCCCUGGGCUAGUGGGAUACUAAUGUAGGGGGUUUAACUGGGGGAGGAAAUAGAGCCUUAGCAGCAGAGACUUUAGGAAAGCAUGAAAUUCAAGAUAGAAAUGUCAGUCCUAAAGCUGAUGUGAAAUCUUGCAGGUAGAGUCACUCUAGGGCUCAGAUGGUGACACUGUUCUCUAUGCAGCUGGGCUUCAGAUAUUCAUAGGGCCAGUCAAGUUGCUCAUUCCGGGCUGUAAUCUCCUUUUCCAGCUUUUCCAAAUCUGUUCGGAAUUGGUUUAGCACAGCUUUGGGCUUGGGGCCUGAGAAAUAUUUUUCUUUGUGGUGCCCCAGAGGCACCUGAGACAGAACAAAGGAUCAGUCAGUUUCUAAAGACAAACGCACCUAGAGCCCAGCCCCUCACUCUGAUGUUUCCUUUCCAACUGUCAUUUCCCUCUCCCGAGAGUCCCCUCUCACCAUGUCUGGCUGGCGGCGACUCAGAUGCCAUGAGAUGGCCAUUUGAAGACAGGCCUGCCGGACAUCAGGUCACCUUGCCUUCAGGGACCUGGGCUUUCAGCUGUCCAUACCUGGCCCUGGUUGAUGGCGGCAUGCUGGGCAGUGCACGUGAAGACGCACAUGGUGAGGAAAUGGCAGAGUUGACUCUGGGACUGGAAGGAGACAGGGAAACCUGGGCAGGAAAGGAAUAGCAGUUAGAAGCUACAGCAUAAGAGGAGAGGAACAAAGGCUGUUGUUUUGGGAUGCCCAUAUUUUAGAAUUGAUGAAUUUGUUUAUUUUAUUUAGACGUAUUUGCAUCAGACAUGCGUUUAAGUCCUGGCUCAGUCACUUACACUUAGUUACCAUAGGCCAGCUUAACCUAUUUGAACCUCAGUUUUUUUCACCUGUAAAAUAUGGACGAUACCUACAUUAUAAAUGAGAUGAUGUAUCAAAAUCACCUGGUCUGUAAUAAAUGCUCAAUAAGUAAGUAAUAAUUAUUGUUAUGGAAGGAUUGGGGGCUGAAAAGUUCUGAGUGACCAAAUAUCCCUUGCCUCAAAAAGUGGUUAAGAAUUGAGGGAUGCGGCCGGGCGCGGUGGCUCACGCCUGUAGU
rnacentral:lncRNA from 1 species